rnacentral:rRNA from 1 species
AUUGAACGCUGGCGGCAUGCUUUACACAUGCAAGUCGAACGGUAACAGGCCGCAAGGUGCUGACGAGUGGCGAACGGGUGAGUAAUGCAUCGGAACGUGCCCAGUCGUGGGGGAUAACGCAGCGAAAGCUGCGCUAAUACCGCAUACGAUCUAUGGAUGAAAGCGGGGGACCGUAAGGCCUCGCGCGAUUGGAGCGGCCGAUGUCAGAUUAGGUAGUUGGUGGGGUAAAGGCCUACCAAGCCAACGAUCUGUAGCUGGUCUGAGAGGACGACCAGCCACACUGGUACUGAGACACGGCCCAGACUCCUACGGGAGGCAGCAGUGGGGAAUUUUGGACAAUGGGCGCAAGCCUGAUCCAGCAAUGCCGCGUGCAGGAAGAAGGCCUUCGGGUUGUAAACUGCUUUUGUCAGGGAAGAAACGCUCUGGGUUAAUACCCUGGGGUAAUGACGGUACCUGAAGAAUAAGCACCGGCUAACUACGUGCCAGCCGCCGCCGUAAUAC